UACGGAGGGGGGCUAGCGUUGUUCGGAAUUACUGGGCGUAAAGCGCGCGUAGGCGGCUUUGUAAGUUAGAGGUGAAAGCCCGGAGCUCAACUCCGGAACUGCCUUUAAGACUGCAUCGCUAGAACGAUGGAGAGGUAAGUGGAAUUCCGAGUGUAGAGGUGAAAUUCGUAGAUAUUCGGAAGAACACCAGUGGCGUAAGCGAUCACCUGGGCUAGACCUGACGCUGAGGGACGAAGGCGUGGGGAGCAAACGGG
rnacentral:rRNA from 1 species